rnacentral:rRNA from 1 species
UACAGAGGGGGCUAGCAUUAUUCGGAAUUAUUGGGCGUAAAGGGCGCGUAGGCGGCCAUGCGUGUCUUCCGUGAAAUCCCUCGGCUUAACUGAGGACGUGCGGAAGAAACUGCAAGGCUCGAGUCCGGGAGAGGGGGGUGGAAUUCCCAGUGUAGCGGUGAAAUGCGUAGAUAUUGGGAGGAACACCGGUGGCGAAGGCGGCCCCCUGGACCGGAACUGACGCUGAGGCGCGAAAGCGUGGGUAGCAAACGGG